rnacentral:lncRNA from 1 species
GGUAAUAUGAAUAAUUAAAAACAGAAAAUGUAUUUUAAAAAUUAGCAACCACGACUAAGGAAAAGACCAAUAACAGGAAUGACGCAAAGCGUUAAUUGCAGCCAAACAAUAAUGAUGAAUCGAAGCAAAAAUAACGAGGCGCUGACUAUGCUGUUGGUUUCCCCCGGACUCAAAUUCCCAUCGUGCCCUUCGCAACCCCCCGUGGCUGAGGCCUGACGGGAGUUCGGCUCUGCGGCCGCCGCGACCUUCGGUUUCCGCGACAACCAGGAAGUGCUGAUGCGGAACCGGAAGUCUCUCCUGACCGCUUCCUGAGGCCUCCCGUGUGGCAGUGAUGGCGGCGGCUGGCCGCUCCGGGGGUGUUGCGGGCGGCGCGGCGCCCCAGCAGCGGAAGCACAAACGCUGUAACCCUGAGGGCGGAGGAGGGAGGCUUGGUCCGGUGGCGGCGGCGGCGGCGACAUCCAGAGGCGGCUGGCAGGGAGAGGAGGAGAGGGGAGCCAUGGAGCCUCUACGGGUCAGGGGGGCCCGGCCUUCCAGGGACGAGGGACGUUGGGACAACCCUUGGGAUGACGACCUAGGACCCUGGGACGGACCAUUUGGGUCCCGGGGGGACCUUCGCGACAGAGCACCGGGACCCCCAGAUGGACCGUUAGGCUCCUGGGACGAACUGUCAGGGUCUCGAGGGAAUCUCCGGGACGGGCCUUCUGGGCCUCUGGAUGGACCUCUAGGGCCAUGGAGUGAACCACUAGGAGCCCGGGCGAACUCUCGGAGCCCACCACUGGCUCCCUCAGGGAGACAUUUAGGCCCCUGGGCGGACUCUUGGGAUGAACUGCCAGGGCCCCGGGAGGACCCUCGGGACAGACCGACCAGACCCCGAGUGGACUCUUGGGACGGGCCUCUAGGACUUUGGGAUGCAUCCACUGGGCCACGGAAUGGAUCUUUUAGACCCCGGGAUGAGCCAUCUGGGCCACGGGGGGAUGCGCUGGACAGAGCUGGUGGGCCCUGGAAUGGGCCCCAGAGGGAGUCUUGGGAUGCAUCUCCCAGGGACCCAAAGGCUGGUUCUCCUGAGGCUUGGGAUGGGUGCUCUGCAUCAGAGCGUNCUUUCAGUAGCUUUCAGGGUCCUCUCCCUAUGUCCUGUAAGAGCAGGAGGGACAGCCCUGAGCGGGAAUCUGGGUGGGGUGGACCACCGCUGUUGCUAAGCCAGCCUGGGAAGCCGCAGCCNCUCCUCCAGUUCAAGAGGAAGACCCGGUGGGAUAGCCCUGGGAGGGCCAAAGAGGAGACACCGCUGCCCUCCACAAAGCAACAGGCUCUUCCUCGCUCCUUGUCGCCUCCCCGCAAGAAACCUCCAGGCUUGGCGAGUCUGGAGAAGAUGAGGAAGCUUCUGGAGCCCCUUGCCAACCUGGGCAGCUGGAGCAACGUUGAGAGGGCGGCAAGGCAGGGGAGUCCCUUGGAGUGGAGUCAUUCCAGGCAGGAUCCACAUCCUGCGAGUCCCUCCAGACUUGGAAGUGGGCAGGCCAGGCCCGAAAAGGGGGGGCAGCUGCCCCCAAGGGGAACGGCACAAGGGGAAGGCAGCUGGUGGCACGAGAGCCCACAGCUGGGAGAAGGGCCAGCCCCCCCCGGGAGCUAUGCCAGCCAUAACCAGGUAGCCUGGGAACGGGGAGCUGCGAUUCUUGAUGGAAGCCCAGAGGUGAGCCAACGGGGGCACCUGGACCUGCCCCAGGGCAAAACCUCCAAGAGAACGAUGUGGCAUCCGGUUCUGGAGAGGGCCUGGCAAGGCUCAGAGAGCGCCAGGUGUGCGAGGGAAGGCGGGCCCCCCGACGAAGAUGGCCUGGAAGGAGAUGCCGGCAGCCCGGAGGGAAAGCAAGGAGGCUGGCAGAGUCCUUCUGCGAGCGAGACCUCCUCCACCCCAUUCGUCACCCCCAAACGCUGGACGCCCUGCGAGCAGGUGCUNAAGUACUGGUCCACCUGCCAGAAGGCUUUGCAAGGCAAGACGAAGGACAGGUUCGUCGCCGUCUGCCCCCGCCCCACCCUGCCCGACAGGACGGCGGAGACGCCUCGCCUCAACGCCGACAUCGCCAAAAUGCUCAGCAGCCUGCAGGUGCGGACGCUCGGCAGCGCCACCCGGGCCCUGAACCUGCUCCAGAGGGAGGUCCUGGAUAUGCUGGGGCCCGCCAUGACCAUCUGCGAGAUGGCCCAAGAGGCCCUGGAGAAGCAGGAGCCCGUCGACGCCAUGGAGCUGCGGGAGUGGUCCCACCGCAUCCUGCGCUACAUCGGCAGCCUCAACUGCCAGCUGAACGCGCAGCGCCGCACCUACGUCCUGGGCGCCAUCAACCCGCGCCUCAAGUCGCUGUCCUCCAAGGUGGCNGGCGGCGACACCCACGGCAUGCUCUUUGCCGAAGACAAGGUGCAGCUCUUGAAGGAGAUCAUCAAGAGGUUUCCGCAGCUGAGGCAGGCCAGGCACGUCCAGCAGGCGGUCCCUGCUAGGAUGCUACAGAAAAGAACCCGAGCGGGUCGCGGGGCUCAGCACCGCUAUGGUGCCGCUGAGUCCUGCAGGCGAAAUAAAGCCAAUCAGCGGGCCGAUCAGGAGCAUUUCUGA